GAUGAACGCUGGCGGCGUGCCUAAUACAUGCAAGUCGAGCGAACAGAUGAGGAGCUUGCUCCUCUGACGUUAGCGGCGGACGGGUGAGUAACACGUGGAUAACCUACCUAUAAGACUGGGAUAACUUCGGGAAACCGGAGCUAAUACCGGAUAAUAUAUUGAACCGCAUGGUUCAAUAGUGAAAGACGGUUUUGCUGUCACUUAUAGAUGGAUCCGCGCCGCAUUAGCUAGUUGGUAAGGUAACGGCUUACCAAGGCAACGAUGCGUAGCCGACCUGAGAGGGUGAUCGGCCACACUGGAACUGAGACACGGUCCGGACUCCUACGGGAGGCAGCAGUAGGGAAUCUUCCGCAAUGGGCGAAAGCCUGACGGAGCAACGCCGCGUGAGUGAUGAAGGUCUUCGGAUCGUAAAACUCUGUUAUUAGGGAAGAACAAAUGUGUAAGUAACUAUGCACGUCUUGACGGUACCUAAUCAGAAAGCCACGGCUAACUACGU
rnacentral:rRNA from 1 species